GACAACUAAGUGGCACAGUGGAUAUAGCAUUGACUCUGGUGUCAGGAAGACCUAAGAUCAAAUCUAGCCUUAGACACUUUCUUCAUGAUCCUGGGUAAGUCACUUAAUUCCUGUUUGCCUUGGUUUUCUCAUCUGUAAAAUGGGAGUAAUAAUAGCAUAUCUCUUCUAGGGCUAUUCUGAGUAUGAAAUGAAGUAAGGAUGGUAAAGUGCUUAGCACAGCUACUGGCACAUCAUAAGAACCAUAUAGAAGCCAACUAUUAUUGUCAUCCUUGGGAGCCUCUGAAGCUUUUUAAGCAUUGUUAGACUUUGUUUUAGGAAAAUUGUUUUGGCAAUGGUUUGAAGGAUGGUUUGGAGAAGAGACAGAUUAGGGAGGUAAUUGUUAUAGUCCAAUCAAGAGCUGAAUUGGGGUGGUGUUUCUUGGGUGCUUGAUAAAUGUGAGAGAUUGUGGAGUAAGAAUUGAUAAGACUAGGCAACUGCUUGGAUGUGGAGAUGGUAGUGGGAGGAGAGGAAGCCAAGGAUGAUUCCAAGGUUGUAAACCUAGACAAGUUGGAAGGAUGGUGGUGCUUUCCAAAGAAAUAGAGCAGGAAGUGAGUUAUAUGGGGAAUACAUGUUUCAUUUUAGAAAAACAAUCUGAACCGCUUAUGGGACAUCUAGGUGGAGAUGCGCCAGGAAUUAUCAGAACUGGAGAUCAGUUGCUAGAGAUUGUGGGAGCUGGGUGUGAGUGAUGACCUCAUUCCUCUUGCAAGAGGUGAAGAAGCUGGCACUGUGGGUCAGACUGUCCCUCCCGUGAUCUUGGGUAUGUUCCUUCUUCACUUUUAGAGAGGGGAAAAAAAAGAUAAGCUUCAAAGAUAAGGCAUGCUCUAGGAGCAUACAGGUUCUCAGCCUGCUAUUCCCUUCUACUAAGAAGCCAGGAAAGAAGAGAAUACUAGGGCAGCCCAGCUGCUGAGGGAGAUGAGUUCUCUGGGCUUUCAUCAUUUCUACUCUACUGACCAAGUGGGUCAGUCAACCUUAGUCUCUCCUUCCAGAAGGAAUGGAAUUUUAAACACAAAUGCCCUCAAACCUCUUUAAUGAGGGAAAUGGUCAAUUCUCAGUUCUAGGAAAUUAGCCAAUGUAACAGCUGCUUAGAUUAAACUAUAUUCCUCUUCCCUCUUUUCCCCCUCUCUCCCUAUCACCAGGCACUGAGUUAUUCACAAAAAAAAUCUGUUGCUUAGUCUGUAAUGGGCUGCUGCUUCCAAAGCAUCUGAGAAAGGUACUUUUUAAAAAAUUGCUUUUUAUUGAUGUUUUCCGUUUCUUACAUCAUCAUAGCAUCCCAUGUAUCCUUCUCCCUCACCUUCUCCAAGAUCAUACCUUAUGAUAAAUAGUGGUUUGGGGGGAGUGGUCAGAGAGGGGGAAAAAACAGCACAUUGAGAAAGUCCCAAACCAUGUAAAAUGCAUAAUACCUGUCAACCUCCCAUCUUCAUAAAGGGAUACAUUGGGGAGGUCUUCUCAUAUCUCUUCUUUUUCAUCCC
rnacentral:lncRNA from 1 species